rnacentral:lncRNA from 1 species
AUGCCGGCGGGCCGCGUGGAGCAGGGAAGCAUCUCGGGAUGCGCGGAAUCCCAUUCAUGGCAGCGCGGAGGAAUCGCGUGCUGUGGAGAACAAACAUCUCUUACGAAGAAGGAAGCAGUGUCUGAAAGCCGAGAUGCCAGCAGCAUGAAUAAGGAGUGUAUCAAGGACGUGAAAUUAAAGUCUGUAUUUCUAAACAGGGCUCCCUUUUCCGUGGCGUUCUUUCUGCGAGGGGUUGCCUUGGCUGCUUCCAAGCGUUGUACUUGAUCUUCUUUAAUUUACAGAAUAAAAGAUUCAUGAGUUUUAAAGAAAGACGUCA